UACGGGGGGGGCAAGCGUUGUUCGGAAUUACUGGGCGUAAAGGGUCCGUAGGCGGCCAACUAAGUCAGACGUGAAAUCCCCCGGCUUAACCGGGGAACUGCGUCUGAUACUGGUUGGCUUGAGUGCAGGAGAGGAACGCGGAAUUCCAGGUGUAGCGGUGAAAUGCGUAGAUAUCUGGAGGAACACCGGUGGCGAAGGCGGCGUUCUGGACUGUAACUGACGCUGAGGGACGAAAGCCAGGGGAGCAAACGGG
rnacentral:rRNA from 1 species